UACGGGGGGAGCAAGCGUUGUUCGGAUUUACUGGGCGUAAAGGGCGCGUAGGCGGCCACCGCAAGUCAGUUGUGAAAUCUCUGGGCUUAACCCAGAAAGGUCAACCGAUACUGCGGGGCUAGAGUGCAGAAGGGGCAACUGGAAUUCUCGGUGUAGCGGUGAAAUGCGUAGAUAUCGAGAGGAACACCUGCGGCGAAGGCGGGUUGCUGGGCUGACACUGACGCUGAAGCGCGAAAGCUAGGGGAGCGAACGGG
rnacentral:rRNA from 1 species